rnacentral:misc_RNA from 1 species
ACAUUAGUCUUAAUUGACUUAUUACAUAAUCGAUUCGUGUCUAGUUUUGAGAGCUUUAAGGUUCUCAAUUAUAGUUCUUUGAAAACUGAAUAGCAAAUAACAAUAUGAUUAACUUCAUAUUUAUUAUUUCAACGAUCUUUUUUUUAUAACCGAGUUUAAUUUUUAAAUUAAAUUUCUAAAAUAGAUUACCAAUAUUAAAAUACCGUAUUAGAUAUUUAUCUUUAGCAAUAAUAGGCAAUAUUAAAGUUGUAUUAACUUUUAAAUUAAGUAAGAGUAUUU